rnacentral:rRNA from 1 species
CCUACGGGAGGCUGCAGUGGGGAAUAUUGGACAAUGGGGGGAACCCUGAUCCAGCCAUGCCGCGUGUGUGAAGAAGGCCCUCGGGUUGUAAAGCACUUUCAGUGAGGAAGAACGCCUGGUGGUUAAUACCCAUCAGGAAAGACAUCACUCACAGAAGAAGCACCGGCUAACUCCGUGCCAGCAGCCGCGGUAAUACGGAGGGUGCGAGCGUUAAUCGGAAUUACUGGGCGUAAAGCGCGCGUAGGUGGCUUGAUAAGCCGGUUGUGAAAGCCCCGGGCUCAACCUGGGAACGGCAUCCGGAACUGUCAAGCUAGAGUGCAGGAGAGGAAGGUAGAAGUCCCGGUGUAGCGGUGAAAUGCGUAGAGAUCGGGAGGAAUACCAGUGGCGAAGGCGGCCUUCUGGACUGACACUGACACUGAGGUGCGAAAGCGUGGGUAGCAAACAGGAUUAGAUACCCGAGUAGUC